rnacentral:rRNA from 1 species
GAGUAACCGUAAGGAGCUAGCCGCCUAAGGUGGGACAGAUGAUUGGGGUGAAGUCGUAACAAGGUAGCCGUAUCGGAAGGUGCGGCUGGAUCACCUCCUUU